GUCUUUUGGUGUGUCUCGUCCUGUAGAAGAUGAAUCGCGUCAGUUGGAAACACUUGAGUCAUCCACAUCUCAGACGACAAGGUCUAAGCAUGUUUCUGGUAGGUAAACAAAAGGACAAGAAAACAAUGUAUAAAUCUGCAUCAGAUUUGGCUAGGGAGGAAAUAGUUAAUCUUGAAAAGGCAAACCUGGAAGAGAGAAGACAAAUGAGAGUUGCUUUAGAAAGGUUGGCAGCAGCACAGGAGAAGAUUGCUGAUGCCCAACUUCGCAGGGCAGAAGUUGCAGAAAAGAAACUUGCCUUGCAAGAAAGUUUAUACUCAUAAUUUUAUUUAAUAAAAUUAACACUCCAGUA